GACGAACGCUGGCGGCGUGCUUAACACAUGCAAGUCGAACGGAAAGGCCCUGCUUUUGUUGGUUGCUCGAUUGGCGAACGGGUGAGUAACACGUGAGUAACCUGCCCUUGACUUUGGGAUAACUUCAGGAAACUGGGGCUAAUACCGGAUAGGAGCUCCUGCUGCAUGGUGGUGGUUGGAAAGUUUCGGCGGUUGGGGAUGGACUCGCGGCUUAUCAGCUUGUUGGUGGGGUAGUGGCUUACCAAGGCUUUGACGGGUAGCCGGCCUGAGAGGGUGACCGGCCACAUUGGGACUGAGAUACGGCCCAGAAUCCUACGGGCGGCAGCAGUGGGGAAUAUUGCACAAUGGGCGGAAGCCUGAUGCAGCAACGCCGCGUGCGGGAUGACGGCCUUCGGGUUGUAAACAGAUUUCGCCUGUGACGAAGCGUGAGUGACGGUAAUGGGUAAAGAAGCAACGGCUAACUACGUG
rnacentral:rRNA from 1 species